GUCUAUAGGCAUACCAAAUUGAAAGGACCAGUUCUCGUCGGAUCAAUGAAGUUAAGCAACGUCUGGCUCGGUAACUAGGAUGGGUAACCGCCAUGGAACACCAAUUGCUGUAAACU
rnacentral:rRNA from 1 species